rnacentral:antisense_RNA from 1 species
CGCUGACAUCGCUCUUUGGUUAAGGUUAAGCAAAUCAGACCCCGCCCAUGCUUUGCCAUAAAAUUAAUGGCUUCAGGUGUGAUUUUUUCAGCGGCAAUGAU